rnacentral:rRNA from 1 species
ACGUAGGGGGCAAGCGUUAUCCGGAUUUACUGGGUGUAAAGGGAGCGUAGGCGGUCUGACAAGUCAGAAGUGAAAGCCCGGGGCUCAACUCCGGGACUGCUUUUGAAACUGCCGGACUAGAUUGCAGGAGAGGUAAGUGGAAUUCCUAGUGUAGCGGUGAAAUGCGUAGAUAUUAGGAGGAACACCAGUGGCGAAGGCGGCUUACUGGACUGUAAAUGACGCUGAGGCUCGAAAGCGUGGGGAGCAAACAG